ensembl:lncRNA
CCCCUAUUUUGGUUUAUAAAUGUCCCAUUUUUGGACUCGUGGAGGAAAAUGAGAAAUAAAUCGGUCCUCUUUGUGUCAGAGCAAAGCAUGGGAGUCGCACCACGCGUGACGCCUGCAUGGCAGCACACACCGAGCCGCGGAGACGUCACACAAGCAGAUGUGCCACAGCCCUUUGGAGCAGUGAGCGAACGAACCAGUUGCACAUCUGCACUGAGCAAGCCAAAGCAUGAAUCCUGAAGGCACGAGUGGAAACAAAGAGGUCAGUGCCUUCAGAGCCCCCAGCUCUGUGCACACGGUGCCGGCCCAUUGCCCACCAGCAGCGUGGGGCUGCAGUGGGUGCUGUGGGGCUUCAUGCUGCAGCUGCCCCAGAGAAGGCCAGCAGAGACCCUGCUGGUGUGCAUCACCAUUGGAAACAAGAGGGGGAAUGGGUGUUGCUUAGCAAUGCACUACGGCACGCUCCAGUCCUGGGGAAUGGGCAAAGAGCUGUCAGAAACCCCAGCAUUAUUAUUACUGUUAUUGCAAGAGCACCCAGAUGCACACGGCGCUUUGCAGACAAAAGUAAUCGGUGGUCCUUCAGCCUGUGGAGCUGCAGUGGCACAGGAUGCUGCCCCAGGCAGCAGUGGACACGGGCUGUGGAGCAGAACAGCACAGCAUGGCCCCUUUUGGCCCUCUCCCUGCACCCACUGAUGGUGUGGGAAGGUUUCUUUCUGAGCACGUUAAAGUGAGAAGUGAGCGCUGCCAAACUUCACUUUGCAUCUCUCUGUCCCGGGCUGCUGAAGCUGCAGUGCAGCCGCUGGUGCACGGUGUUGAUCUGAGCUGGUGUGCACCUGAUUGCUUCGUUACCGGGUCGGCUGUCACAUCCAUAGGAGCAGUGUCACGUUCUGAAGGACCCAUUAACACCUGUUGUGUGUGGGGAGGUAUCCUGCAGGCUCUGCAAACCGUGCCGGCUGCUUGCUGUGCGAGAUGGACGUUUCCUUCUGGUGUGGCUGCUCUGAUGUACACACAGACACCUCGCUUCCAAAGGCAGACACACAGCUGCUGUUGCACUGGAGCAGCCCUGGUAGUGGGUCAUUGUACUGCUCUGAGCAUCUCCGGCACUGGGACCCAAAUAUAACACGAGCACUUGAUCCGGCACACAUUUCGGAUAACAGAAAACUUCCUACAGCUUUUAAUGAGUUCUGGACCGGGUCCCAGGUCGUCGUCGUGCUGUUUUGUGAAAUUACUGAGAUUUAUGUCCAGCUAUUUAAUAUCAGCCUGAAAAAAGACCCCAAAGCCCUGCCCCCGCUCAGCAACGUGUCGUGCUCCCCAGCCAAAGACUUUAAUCUUUCAUCUUGUUUGGUUUUUUCCCUCUGCGCUGAUGGUUUUUUUCCUAACUCGGCCACCUCAGCACAACGUUUUGCAGGCACCUGGCAGAGCGCAAUGCAGCAGCUGCAGGCAGGCCGUGGCUUCCAGGAGGUCAGACGGUGAGCGGUGCAGGGCAGCCCUCCCUAUUGGGGUCCGGCAGUGCCCAUCUCCAGCUGGAGCCGCCGCGGAGGGGCCGUGCUGUGCCGGGGAGCUCCGAGCCGAUCGUUUUAAUACCAGAGCGACACCAAAGGGGGUCAAGUAAAUAAAUAUGCAUGCCUCACUAGUUCAAAAUAAUAAAAUUCCAAUGUGUGCAAGCCUGCUUGUUGAACAUAUGUUUGCGGCACGGCUAAGCCAUCUGGCUCAAUGUCAAGCAUUUACACCAACUGCAGUCUUACACUACCUGACAGCAGAAAAGCUUUAUUCCCCUGGUGUUUGGGCACAAAUGGAGAAAUAUUAUUGAAAUGAUUAUCUGCAUCAAGACUCAGAUUUGGUUUGACAUUUAGCUGGCUCUGUUUAAUCCAAAGGGUUGUCUGAAUGAAUAAAGAGAAGGGUUCCUCCAGAAGAUGCUGCGAGCGGCCGGGAGAGCCAAAUGAUUAAUGAGAGCCGGAGCCGGGCGCACCCUGCCCACCUCCACCCGCAUCGGGAAUGAGGACGCACUGCAGCCUGGUGGGAUGCGCACAGCCACAGUUCUGGGCAGAAGGGACUGGGAAGGAUUGCUCCACAUCCCGGCUAAAUCCAUCUACGGGAAGUCCCAGGGCGCAUCCCUGCAUCAGAGCCGGUGCUGCAGGAGAGGAGAGCGUCCCGUGCUGUCCUGGUGCCGUGCAGAGGGCGCGUUGCAGGUCUGGAGAGGGUCCAUCCCGGCUCCUUUGUAGAAAGGUGUGCCGUGACACAGGAACAAAGGAAGAACAAGAGCGCGAAGUUUGGAGCAAGUUAAUAAAAAGCGAGUGGGAGCAGGAUUUGUUUGAACUCACAGGGCUCGCACUGACAGAGACAAAUCUAUCUGAGGAAUCAGGCGUGCUACAUCUGAAAAUAAAAUGGGAUGGAGCUGCAGAGCACGGGGUGAUGAGCAGCGUUACGGCCCAGAGAGCCGCUCUGCCUGGGAGUGCUGAGCAAAGAGCCCCUCCCUCCCCCCGGGAACGCACUGUACCAUUUUAUUCCCCUUUUUCUUUACAUUUCCACUUCCGAUCGCUGAUUUGGAUUUAAAAUUAAUUUGGUGAUUUGAGUUUAAUAAGAAUGUUAGACAUGAUUUCCUUCUCACUCUUACUUUUAAUUAACUUUUUAAUUGAGAUUUAAAUGAAUUCUAAUGAACAG